CAGUCGCCGCGGGAAUACGUAGGGUGCGAGCGUUAAUCGGAAUUACUGGGCGUAAAGCGUGCGCAGGCGGUUAUAUAAGACAGAUGUGAAAUCCCCGGGCUCAACCUGGGACCUGCAUUUGUGACUGUAUAGCUAGAGUACGGUAGAGGGGGAUGGAAUUCCGCGUGUAGCAGUGAAAUGCGUAGAUAUGUGGAGGAAUACCGAUGGCGAAGGCAGCCCCCUGGGAUAACACUGACGCUCAUGCACGAAAGCGUGGGAGCAAACAGGAUUAGAUACCCCGGUAGUCCCUGUCUCUUAUACA
rnacentral:rRNA from 1 species